rnacentral:rRNA from 1 species
GAUGAACGCUGGCGGCGUGCCUAAUACAUGCAAGUCGAGCGAACGGACGAGAAGCUUGCUUCUCUGAUGUUAGCGGCGGACGGGUGAGUAACACGUGGAUAACCUACCUAUAAGACUGGGAUAACUUCGGGAAACCGGAGCUAAUACCGGAUGAUAUUUUGAACCGCAUGGUUCAAAAGUGAAAGACGGUCUUGCUGUCACUUAUAGAUGGAUCCGCGCUGCAUUAGCUAGUUGGUAAGGUAACGGCUUACCAAGGCAACGAUGCAUAGCCGACCUGAGAGGGUGAUCGGCCACACUGGAACUGAGACACGGUCCAGACUCCUACGGGAGGCAGCAGUAGGGAAUAUUCCGCAAUGGGCGCAAGCCUGACCGAGCAACGCCGCGUGAGUGAUGAAGGUCUUCGGAUCGUAAAGCUCUGUUAUUAGGAAAGAACAUAUGUGUAAGUAACUGUGCACGUCUUGACGGUACCUAAUCAGAAAGCCACGGCUAACUACGUG